rnacentral:rRNA from 1 species
UACGUAGGGACCAAGCGUUGUUCGGAUUUACUGGGCGUAAAGGGCGCGUAGGCGGCAAUUCAAGUCAUCUGUGAAAUCUCCGGGCUUAACUCGGAACGGUCAGAUGAUACUGCUUUGCUAGAGUGCGGGAAGGGGCAAUCGGGAAUUCCUGGUGUAGCGGUGAAAUGCGACAGAUAUCAGGAGGAACACCGGUGGCGAAGGCGGAUCUCUGGGCCAUUACUGACGCUGAGGACGAAAGCGUGGGGAGCGAACAGG